ensembl:lncRNA
UUUAUUCUGGAAUGUGCUGGGUUAUCAGGGAAGAAUUCAUAUCAGCAAGAGGAAAAUAUUUGGGGCAAGAAAGCACCCCAAAGAUGCAAACUGAAUUCACAAGUGGUUUCAGUGUCACUAAAAAUAGUGCCUGGCACCUUUGCUGCAUUAAUGAUUUACUGUGAAAUAUGUCAGUGUUUCAGUCUGGCAGUUAUAAAUCACUCGCAUUGCUCCCAACUUGCCUUUGUCCCCAGCACCGUUACACUGAUGAAGACUGAGCUCCCUCUGCAUGGACCCAGAUUGCACAGCUGCAGGACUCUCUAAGGAUGUCAUCACUUCUAUCAGUGUCCAGAGCCCGUCUUAUAAAAAAUGAGUUCCUAAGUCUUAAGGCUGUCAACUGAUGUUUUGGGGGAGGAGGAAGAGAGAGACCUUAUUCUGAUUUCUGAGCAUGUGGACUUUGCAAUAGAGCAAAGAUUACAUCAGAGAGUUGAUUUGAUCUUUAAUCAAAAGCAGUAUUCCCAUAAAGCUACCCACAAACCCAUCCUCUGGAAAAUCAGGCAGACUCCUAAGCAUAGCUGAGGAGCCUACAUGUCAUUGCCUUUACUUCUCUUGCAGUUCAUGGGGGCUGGGCUCAUCUGGAGGUGGAUUGAGCCACUUCCAGCCUCGUCUUGUGUGCCAAAUGGGCAGGGAGGAUGUGGCACAGCAUGUGUGGGGCAACGCUGGGCUAGGAACCAGGGCAUGAAGGGCUUGGGACUGGCCGUGAUGCUGGCUGCCUACUGCUGGAGCUGGAAACCACCAUCUGAUGCAGAGAGGAAACAUCUCCAGCACUGCAGAAGAGGAAGGCACAAUGCGGUCCAUACAGGUCACGGCAUGCAGGAAGACAGGAGAAAAUGA